rnacentral:rRNA from 1 species
GCAAGAUAGAGUUUGAUCAUGGCUCAGGAUGAACGCUAGCGGCAGGCUUAACACAUGCAAGUCGAGGGGCAGCAUAGGUACUUCGUACCUGAUGGCGACCGGCGCACGGGUGAGUAACGCGUAUACAAUUUACCUUGUACGGGGGGAUAACCGAGAGAAAUUUCGACUAAUACCCCAUAGUAUGUAUUUACCGCAUGGUAUUUGCAUUAAAGAUUUAUCGGUACAAGAUGGGUAUGCGUCCUAUUAGCUGGAUGGUAAGGUAACGGCUUACCAUUGCUAUGAUAGGUAGGGGUCCUGAGAGGGAGAUCCCCCACACUGGUACUGAGACACGGACCAGACUCCUACGGGAGGCAGUAGUGAGGAAUAUUGGACAAUGGGGGCAACCCUGAUCCAGCCAUGCCGCGUGCAGGAAGACUGCCCUAUGGGUUGUAAACUGCUUUUAUACGGGAAGAAACCCAUGCUCGUGAGCGUGGCUGACGGUACCGUACGAAUAAGCACCGGCUAACUCCGUGCCAGCAGCCGCGGUAAUACGGAGGGCGCAAGCGUUAUCCGGAAUCAUUGGGUUUAAAGGGUCCGUAGGCGGGCGAUUAAGUCAGGGGUGAAAUCCCACAGCUCAACUGUGGAACUGCCUUUGAUACUGGUUGUCUUGAAUUUUGGUGGAGUAGAUAGAAUAUGAGUGUGUACCCGGUGAAAUGCAUAGAUAUUACAUAGAAUACCGAUUGCGAAGGCAGUCUACUAACCAACAAUUGACGCUAAUGGACGAAAGCGUGGGGAGCGAACGGGAUUAGAUACCCCGGUAGUCCACGCCGUAACGAUGGAUACUAGUUGUCGGGGCUUGCCUCGGUGACUAAGCGAAAGUGAUAAGUAUCCCACCUGGGGGAGUACGUUCGCAAGGAUGAAACUCAAUGAAUUGACGGAUCU